AUUGAACGCUGGCGGCAUGCCUUACACAUGCAAGUCGAACGGUAACAGGUUAAGCUGACGAGUGGCGAACGGGUGAGUAAUGUAUCGGAACGUGCCCAGUCGUGGGGGAUAGCUGCUCGAAAGAGCAGCUAAUACCGCAUACGACCUGAGGGUGAAAGCGGGGGAUCGCAAGACCUCGCGCGAUUGGAGCGGCCGAUAUCAGAUUAGGUAGUUGGUGAGGUAAAGGCUCACCAAGCCGACGAUCUGUAGCUGGUCUGAGAGGACGACCAGCCACACUGGGACUGAGACACGGCCCAGACUCCUACGGGAGGCAGCAGUGGGGAAUUUUGGACAAUGGGCGCAAGCCUGAUCCAGCCAUGCCGCGUGCGGGAAGAAGGCCUUCGGGUUGUAAACCGCUUUUGUCAGGGAAGAAAAGGUUCUGGCUAAUACCUGGGACUCAUGACGGUACCUGAAGAAUAAGCACCGGCUAACUACGUG
rnacentral:rRNA from 1 species